rnacentral:rRNA from 1 species
AGCAGCCGCGGUAAUUCCAGCUCCAAUAGUGUAUAUUAAAGUUGUUGCAGUUAAAAAGCUCGUAGUUGAAUUUCGGGAUCAAUAUAUCGGUCGUGCCUUGGUACGUACUGGUAUCAUUGGUUUCUCCUUUCUGACGAACCAUGAUGUCAUUAAUUUGGUGUUAUGGGAAGUUAGGACUGUUACUUUGAAAAAAUUAGAGUGUUUAAAGCAGGCUUUAGCUUGAAUACAUUAGCAUGGAAUAAUGAAAUAGGACGUUCGAACCUAUUUUGUUGGUUUCUAGGAUCAACGUAAUGAUUAAUAGGGAUAGUUGGGGGCAUUAGUAUUCAAUUGUCAGAGGUGAAAUUCUUGGAUUUAUUGAAGACUAACUACUGCGAAAGCAUUUGC